CAGAAUCCAAGUGUAAUUCCCAUCUGUCUACAAAGCCAAAGUAAAGAAUAACAGAAAUCUGUAGAAUCCAUCCAUCCAUUGUGUUUAUGCUCUAUAAAAAUUGACACAGAAAAGCUAAAGUUUCAGUCUUUGUAUCGGAGACUGGAAACACAACCCCCACACGCCCCUCUCUCUCUCUCUCUCUCUCUCUCUCUCCCCCCUAUUCAUUCUCUCUCUCCACUCAAUUCCCUUGAUCCCUUCUCUUCCCUUUCCGAGUUUUCAAAAAGAAGAAGAAAAAAAAAAAAGAAUAAUGCAUGUCUUGAUCACAAUUCAAAACCCCAGUAUUUAUUUCCCCACAGCCACAUGGGUAUAACUCUAGAAAAACGCACUUACACCAACGCAACCUCCCAUUCCAUCCAUUUCUUUGUUUUCUUUACUACUAGCUCUUGCCUUGGAGUUGCAAAUUGUCAGGCCAUAUAUCAGAACCGAGGAAUAGAAGCUUAGGAAAUGGUGGCAAUGGUGGAAGUGUGAAUAUAGCUUGCUUAGAAUAGUCAGUUUGUGUUGGAUGGAUUUGCUUGGAGCUGUGCUGCAAUUGGCAAAUACUAAGCUGAAGGAUAAUAAUUGGCGCAAUCUUGAUCAACAGCACCGGAGAAGAAUAAGACAAUUUCAAUGUACAAAAGCACAGACGGUUUCACUUAUACAAGAAGAGUCAGAAGCAACAAGACAUACAAGAAACCCCUCAUCGAAAAUGGAUUAUUCUUCUCCUUGUGGCUGCAGCUGCAACAUGAUCAUUCCCCCAAUCAUUUAUAUUCUUGUUUGCAUUCUGUUCUUCACCUCCUCUGUUUGUCCUGCUCAUUCUCUUGAAUCCCGAAACUCCAGCCAUCAAGCCAAUCAAACUUUCCGGCCGGGGGAGGAGUCACAGAAGCUAAAAACGAUUAGAGCCCAUCUCACGAAAGUCAACAAGCCAGCUGUCAAGACAAUCCAGAGUCCGGAUGGUGAUACAAUAGAUUGUGUAUUGUCCCAUCAUCAACCAGCUUUUGAUCAUGCUAAAUUGAAAGGGAAGAAACCAUUGGAUCCACCUGAAAGGCCAAAAGGACAUGAUACAACUGGCAUUUUACCAGAAGAAUUCCAACUGUGGAGCAUGUCUGGUGAAUCAUGCCCUGAAGGUACAGUUCCAAUCCGAAGAACAAGUGAACAGGAUAUCUUGAGAGCUAAUUCGAUCGGAAGAUUUGCAAGAAAAUUACGAAGGCCUAUUCGAAGAGACACCACCAGCAAUGGCCAUGAGCAUGCUGUGGGAUAUGUAACUGGAGAUCAAUAUUAUGGAGCAAAGGCAAGCAUAAAUGUGUGGGCACCUCGAGUUGCUAGUCAGUAUGAAUUCAGCUUAUCGCAGAUGUGGGUUAUUGCCGGCUCCUUCAAUGAUGAUCUUAACACUAUAGAAGCUGGUUGGCAGGUUAGCCCAGAGCUGUACGGGGACAACUAUCCAAGAUUUUUUACAUAUUGGACAAGCGAUGCAUAUCAAGCCACAGGUUGUUAUAAUUUGCUAUGCUCAGGCUUUGUCCAGACCAAUAAUCGAAUAGCAAUCGGAGCUGCAAUUUCUCCCACGUCUUCGUAUAAUGGUGGUCAAUUUGAUAUCAGUUUAUUAAUUUGGAAGGAUCCGAAGCAUGGGAAUUGGUGGCUGGAGUUCGGAAGUGGGAUAUUAGUGGGUUACUGGCCAUCUUUUUUAUUUACGCACCUUAGGAAUUCAGCGAGUAUGGUACAAUUUGGAGGAGAAGUGGUGAACAGCAGGUCGGGUUUCCAUACAACCACCCAAAUGGGCAGUGGACAUUUUGCUGGGGAAGGUUUUGGUAAAGCAUCUUAUUUCCGAAAUUUGCAAGUGGUGGAUUGGGAUAAUAGCUUAAUCCCAUUAUCAAACCUUCGAGUAUUAGCGGAUCAUCCUAAUUGCUAUGAUAUUCAAGGUGGAAUUAAUCGCGUUUGGGGGAAUUACUUUUACUAUGGAGGACCCGGAAGAAAUUCAAGAUGCCCUUGAAAGCGUACACAUCUUUUCUUUUCCAGUUUUUCUUUUUACAACAUGAUGGGUUAUCAUCAGGAGAUCGUAAUAGAGGUUGGGUGAUUCUUUCCAAUUAUUUUCAAUCUAACAAGUGAUCUAUCCAUAAAUUAUACAUACGACUACUAGUUUGUCAGGGGGAGGGGGUUUGUGUAAAUUGUUACGAUAUCAAAUAGUGGAUAUAAUUUACUCUUAAUUUUUCGUCUGUGUUUAUCCUUCCGGCCGGCGUGUCUGAAAAGUUUCAUCAGAUUUUCUCACUGAUCAGUUGGGGACGGUUCAGACUUCUAAUCGAUGCAAUCCACAAAAUGUCUGAUAUGCAUAUUUAACAAGCUAGAAACGUUGAAGAGAGGAGGAGGAGGGGGAGGAGAAAAGAAAAAGAAAAUGAAUGCUGCCAACUAUCACUAAUGAACAGCCAGCACCUCUUAGCUUGAUUUCCAAGCGAGUGAAUGUGAUUUGCAGAUGAGUUGAUUAAUUGGAAUAUGCUGUACUGGAUUAUGAUCCAAGCAACUGUUCUCUGCUGCCUCUUAAAUGGAUCCACCAACCACCGUUGUCAACAAUUGCUGGCUUGUAGAAUAAUACUUGCUACCUGCGCACAGCCAGUUUUUAGUACAUUAAAUUAUGCAAGGCAACGAAAUUACGAUCGUGGGCCUGAAAUCAGAAACUUGCUGCUGGUAUCGAUGCACUUGCUGGCUUGCAAUCAUGGAUUGAAAUUGUGGACCUUUUGAUGCUUCCAUAUUGGAGGAGGAGAGGAUGAUGACGAUGAUGAUGAACAUUAUUAUACAUGUCUUGGGCCUUCCGGGGGGUUAUGCACUCAUGUCACAGCAGUGAUUAUGCGUAGGCUUGAUGAUUGAUCGUAAUCUGGCAAUACUAUGAUAGGCUGACCCCUAUGCUUCGUUAUAUGGUUUUGAUUUCGAGGGCGACUGCUCAUACGCCAUAAAGUUUGAACUCUGCUUCAUCUUUAUAUCUAUAAUACAAAACCUGCUAUAGACAAUAAAUAUGGAUAAUAAGAGCUACCCAUUGGUGAGAGAUUCCGUUGUG